AGCGGCGGCGCAGGCGCGGAGAGGCGCACAGCGCAGGCGCUGGCGCGGAGAGGCGCAGGCCCAGGUCCACUCCCCAGCUGUGAAAGGAGGAGCUCUACGGUGACUUUGAAGACUUGGAAACAGGGGACAUGCACAAGGGAAAAUCGGGCCCCGACACUCAGAAUGAAGAUAUAGAGAAACAAGGAAGAAAUUGACCCCGACGAAGAAGAAAGUGCCAAGAAAAAGCAUUUGGAUAAGAAGAGAAAAUUGAAGGAGAUGUUUGAUGCGGAAUAUGAUGAAGGAGAAAGCACAUAUUUUGAUGAUCUUAAAGGAGAAAUGCAGAAAGAAGCACAGCUGAAUCACGUAGAAUUUGAAGAUCAAGAUGAUGAAGCCAGAGUUCAGUAUGAUGGUUUUCGACCUGGGAUGUACGUCCGCGUUGAGAUUGAAAAUGUUCCCUGUGAAUUUGUGCAGAACUUUGACCCCCAUUACCCCAUUAUCCUGGGUGGCUUGGGCAACAGCGAGGGAAAUGUUGGACACGUGCAGGUGGGUCCCUUUGCUGCAUAUUUGGUGCCUGAGGCUCUGUGGAUUUCCCCUCCAUCAGUCAUCUUACCCUCUCAUCCCCCUCAGAUGCGUCUGAAGAAACAUCGCUGGUAUAAGAAAAUCCUCAAGUCCCAAGAUCCAAUCAUAUUUUCUGUAGGGUGGAGGAGGUUUCAGACCAUCCUGCUCUAUUAUAUUGAAGACCACAAUGGAAGACAAAGGCUUCUAAAGUAUACCCCACAGCACAUGCAUUGUGGAGCAGCCUUUUGGGGUAAAAUAUGAUUACAAUAACUUGCCUAUUGCCGAGAUUAAACUUUACAGGCUGCGUUAUUUUAGCUUUGUGCUUUUCCUUUCAUAAAAUUCCACUCCUAAGAUGUUUCUGUUUUCUGGGAGCGGGGAGGUGGUUUGGAGUAUAUAUGUAAAUCUAUAUCCAAAUCUAAAUGUCCGUAUCCAGUAUGUUAAACUAGAAUCUAAAAUUUCUGGUUUGCUAUAUUUCUUUUUUUCCUUUUCCUUUAAGACCCUAUCACUCCACAGGGAACUGGUUUCUUGGCAAUACAGUCUGUCAGUGGCAUAAUGGUAACUAUCUUGGACAAUUUCUUUUACAGAUUGGUUUGAGAAAUAUAUCCUGAAUGUGGGUUAUUAUGUACAUGAGACUUUAAGUUGAAAAUUACUCAUUUUUAUUAUUAUAAAGUAAAUUUCCCUUUGCUUUUAAUCUUUGUACAUCCUUUUCAGUAGGGUGUGGGAUUAGAGGAGGGGAGGUGGAAGAAUUAUAAUGGUACAUUUCCUAUUUUUGUGCAUCUUUUGCAUUUAUUUAUCUAAGCAAGUAUUUAAGCAGUGCUCACCGUGUGCUAAGCACUAUAUGAGGUUAUGAGGAGCCAUCAGAGACCACCCAGACACAAGACUCCCUGCAGCUGUGCUGGGGUAGCAGUCUGUUCACUCCAUUUUCAUUUGACCAGUCAGGCAGGGCAGGGUUUACUGGUCCCAUUUAACAGAGAAGAAAGCAGAAUAAUGAGCAGAUGGAAUCUUCCCUGGAGGUCCAAAUUUUAAUUUUCUAAACAUUGCAACUGUAUUUUUCUUUUCCAUUUCGUUCCAAAUAAAUCAUUAUAGUAAAAUUACAUUCCUCUGAAAUCACUCUCAGGAAAGUACUCAAGUAGCCUUUUUUUUUCUUUUUUCUUUUUCUUUUCUUUUUUUUUUUUUUUUUUUUUUUGAGACAGAGUCGCACUCCGUCAUCCAGGCUGGAGUGCAGUGGCACGAUCUUGGCUCGCUGCAACCUCUGCCUCCUGGGUUUAAGUGGUUCUCCUGCCUCGGCCUCCCGAGUAGCUGGGAUUACAGGUGUGCACCAUCAUGCCGAGCUAAUUUUUGUAUUUUUAGUAGAGAUGGAAUUUUGCCAUGUUGGCCAGACUGGUUUCAAACUUCUGACCUCAGGUGAUCCACCUGCCUUGGCCUCCCAAAGUGCUGGGAUUACAGGUAUGAGCCACUGUGCCUGGCCUCAAGUCACCCUUGUUAGUUUGGCUUACCAACUUUAAAGUUUUGGAUUGCUUUUGUCAAACCACUGGGUUGCAAGUUCAGAUGGUCUCUCUUGUUUUUCUUAGCUAAUUGUAAGUAAAGUUCACUUUGGUAAUUUAUUGUGUUACAUAGAAUUGAAGUUUUUCUCUUGCUAAUAUUAUUCCUAUUUUCAAAUUUUGGGGCUCCUGUUAGCCUGAUUUUCGGAUAGCUGCCACAGGAGUUGUCCUUGAUCUGGAUAAAUCCAUAAAAAUUGUGAAGAAAUUAAAGCUAACUGGUUUUCCAUA
ensembl:lncRNA novel transcript